rnacentral:rRNA from 1 species
AGGCUUAACACAUGCAAGUCGAGCGGGGAUAGGGUGCUUGCACCUGAUUCCUAGCGGCGGACGGGUGAGUAAUGCUUAGGAAUCUGCCUAUUAGUGGGGGACAACGUUCCGAAAGGGACGCUAAUACCGCAUACGUCCUACGGGAGAAAGCAGGGGAUCUUCGGACCUUGCGCUAAUAGAUGAGCCUAAGUCGGAUUAGCUAGUUGGUGGGGUAAAGGCCUACCAAGGCGACGAUCUGUAGCGGGUCUGAGAGGAUGAUCCGCCACACUGGGACUGAGACACGGCCCAGACUCCUACGGGAGGCAGCAGUGGGGAAUAUUGGACAAUGGGGGGAACCCUGAUCCAGCCAUGCCGCGUGUGUGAAGAAGGCCUUUUGGUUGUAAAGCACUUUAAGCGAGGAGGAGGCUUACCUGGUUAAUACCUGGGAUAAGUGGACGUUACUCGCAGAAUAAGCACCGGCUAACUCUGUGCCAGCAGCCGCGGUAAUACAGAGGGUGCAAGCGUUAAUCGGAUUUACUGGGCGUAAAGCGCGCGUAGGUGGCUAAUUAAGUCAAAUGUGAAAUCCCCGAGCUUAACUUGGGAAUUGCAUUCGAUACUGGUUAGCUAGAGUAUGGGAGAGGAUGGUAGAAUUCCAGGUGUAGCGGUGAAAUGCGUAGAGAUCUGGAGGAAUACCGAUGGCGAAGGCAGCCAUCUGGCCUAAUACUGACACUGAGGUGCGAAAGCAUGGGGAGCAAACAGGAUUAGAUACCCUGGUAGUCCAUGCCGUAAACGAUGUCUACUAGCCGUUGGGGCCCUUGAGGCUUUAGUGGCGCAGCUAACGCGAUAAGUAGACCGCCUGGGGAGUACGGUCGCAAGACUAAA